rnacentral:rRNA from 1 species
AACGAACGCUGGCGGCAUGCCUAACACAUGCAAGUCGAACGAAACCUUCGGGUCUAGUGGCGCACGGGUGCGUAACGCGUGGGAACCUGCCCUUAGGUUCGGAAUAACUCCCCGAAAGGGGUGCUAAUACAGGAUAAUGUCUUCGGACCAAAGAUUUAUCGCUUUUGGAUGGGCGAGCGUUUGAUUAGCUUGUUGGUAGGGUAGAGGCCUACCAAGGCUAUGAUGGGUAGCUGGUCUGAGAGGAUGAUCGGCCACACUGGGACUGAGAUACGGCCCAGACGCCUACGGGAGGCAGCAGUGGGGAAUAUUGCACAAUGAGAGGAAGCCUGAUGCAGCACCGCCGCGUGCGGGAGGACGGCCUUCGGGUUGUAAACCGCUUUCGCCUGUGACGAAGCGUGAGUGACGGUAAUGGGUAAAGAAGCACCGGCUAACUACGUG